rnacentral:rRNA from 1 species
AGCAGUCGCCGCGGGAAUACGUAGGGGGCAAGCGUUAUCCGGAAUUACUGGGUGUAAAGAGAGCGUAGACGGUUAAACAAGUCUGAAGUGAAAUGCCGGGGCUCAACCCCGGAGCUGCUUUGGGAACUGUAGAACUGGAGUGUCGGAGGGGUAAGCGGAAUUCCCAGUGUAGCGGUGAAAUGCGUAGAUAUUGGGAGGAACACCGGCGGCGAAGGCGGCUUACUGGACGACAACUGACGUUGAGGCUCGAAGGCGUGGGUAGCAAACUGGAUUAGAUACCCCGGUAGUCCCUGUCUCUUAUAC